rnacentral:lncRNA from 1 species
CGCCGCUCGGCGGUGAGGCGGUCGUGCGCUGAGCGUCGUUGCUUUGCCUCUGCAGUAGUUUUCCGUAGGCCCGGCCUGCUCUUCUGUCUGCUACUGUAGCUUUUGGUGCCUCCCAGUCGUUCCUCUGCCUGUAAUUUGUUGCAAGGGGUCACUUAGCAGUUUCAUGAUUGGAGCAGCCUGGAAAUGGAUGAUCACACCUAAAUUGAAAGCAGUUCUCAGGAUUCCUUAGGAAUGAAUAAUACCUUCUAUUAAGAAGAGUCCUCAAGUGUGUUGGUACUCCUUGACCACCUAGAAUAUGCUUUGUGAGAUGGCAAUAAACAAUGUGGAGUCACAAGAGUUCCUUGUGAAUUGAUAAGUCUCCGGGUAUGUAGUAUAAAAAGGCUUAUCAGACCUGAGUGGAUGGGGUUGUGUUGUCUCUAGCUAAGCAGCUUAAAUUAUUGCUUACCUGAAAGUUAAAUAAACAAACAAACAAAAAAUCUCUUGAAACCAGUUUGGACUACUGGAAACCUCUGUGGAAAUCUAGAAUUUUUAAAACUGAUUUUAUGUAGAUCAGCCAAACUAAAUUAAAUAACAUCUGGGAAAGUGGACCUGUUUUUUCUUCCUAGACUUGCCCUGAACUGGAAUGUGUAUAAAUGGUAUGGGCAAGGAAAAUCCUGUCCUGUAGAAAUGUAAUACUUAUUGAGAAAUGCCUUUGAUUUAAGGUUAAUGUCAUGUAGCUUCUUCAUAUAGUUCAAUCUUAGGCCACUUAACUUCAUUCAGGUAUUUGAUGCUGACUGCAAAUUAAAUAAAGCUUUUCUUUUACAGAGAGGAAACCAGCAAGGGAUGUGCAAGGCAUCAGAGCUGAUCUGUUGAGUGGAUGAUUAUUGACUUCACAUAAGAUUACAUAGGACAACUGAGUGAUGUUUUUGGCUUGAAUUGAAACAGUGACUCAGAUGAUUACAUCUUCAAUGAUCACGCUUAAACAAUCUAGCCAUUGGUUCAACAGAAGUUUCUUAAAAGCUGUGGCAAUUUAUUUCUAUGUGGAUUGAUUGAAAUAAAGGUAAUACCAGAAGCUUGUGUUGUGAAGUUCUCUCACUAGGUGCUUCCUAUUUCAAAGGUAUUCAGAAGUUCAGAAUGCUAAAUUCCUUUACUUUGAAAUCACUUUAUU